rnacentral:rRNA from 1 species
UGAUGCCCAGCUUGCUGGGCGGAUUAGUGGCGAACGGGUGAGUAAUACGUGAGUAACCUGCCCUUGACUCUGGGAUAAGCCUGGGAAACUGGGUCUAAUACUGGAUACUACCUCUUACCGCAUGGUGGGUGGUGGAAAGGGUUUUACUGGUUUUGGAUGGGCUCACGGCCUAUCAGCUUGUUGGUGGGGUAAUGGCUCACCAAGGCGACGACGGGUAGCCGGCCUGAGAGGGUGACCGGCCACACUGGGACUGAGACACGGCCCAGACUCCUACGGGAGGCAGCAGUGGGGAAUAUUGCACAAUGGGCGGAAGCCUGAUGCAGCGACGCCGCGUGAGGGAUGACGGCCUUCGGGUUGUAAACCUCUUUCAGUAGGGAAGAAGCGAGAGUGACGGUACCUGCAGAAGAAGCGCCGGCUAACUACGUGCCAGCAGCCGCGGUAAUACGUAGGGCGCAAGCGUUGUCCGGAAUUAUUGGGCGUAAAGAGCUCGUAGGCGGUUUGUCGCGUCUGCUGUGAAAGCCCGGGGCUCAACCCCGGGUCUGCAGUGGGUACGGGCAGACUAGAGUGCAGUAGGGGAGACUGGAAUUCCUGGUGUAGCGGUGAAAUGCGCAGAUAUCAGGAGGAACACCGAUGGCGAAGGCAGGUCUCUGGGCUGUUACUGACGCUGAGGAGCGAAAGCAUGGGGAGCGAACAGGAUUAGAUACCCUGGUAGUCCAUGCCGUAAACGUUGGGCACUAGGUGUGGGGGACAUUCCACGUUUUCCCGCGCCGUAGCUAACGCAUUAAGUGCCCCGCCUGGGGAGUACGGCCGCAAGGCUAAAACUCAAAGGAAUUUGACGGGGGCCCGCACAAGCGGCGGAGCAUGCGGAUUAAUUCGAUGCAACGCGAAGAACCUUACCAAGGCUUGACAUUCACCGGACCGCCCCAGAGAUGGGGUUUCCCUUCGGGGCUGGUGGACAGGUGGUGCAUGGUUGUCGUCAGCUCGUGUCGUGAGAUGUUGGGUUAAGUCCCGCAACGAGCGCAACCCUCGUUCUAUGUUGCCAGCACGUGAUGGUGGGGACUCAUAGGAGACUGCCGGGGUCAACUCGGAGGAAGGUGGGGAUGACGUCAAAUCAUCAUGCCCCUUAUGUCUUGGGCUUCACGCAUGCUACAAUGGCCGGUACAAAGGGUUGCGAUACUGUGAGGUGGAGCUAAUCCCAAAAAGCCGGUCUCAGUUCGGAUUGAGGUCUGCAACUCGACCUCAUGAAGUCGGAGUCGCUAGUAAUCGCAGAUCAGCAACGCUGCGGUGAAUACGUUCCCGGGCCUUGUACACACCGCCCGUCAAGUCACGAAAGUUGGUAACACCCGAAGCCGGUGGCCUAACCCCU